UCACUGUAGAUUACACCAGUCUGAGGAGAAGUUUAAAGUGCAUGGGUGCAUCAACAGCAGCAAGUUCCUAGUACAUACCGGGUACUGAGUGAAGCUACGAGGUUUGGAGCUGGUGAAAACAGAGACUUCGUUGAAGAAGACUAAGGACAGGAAGAGCAGCUCCUUACGCUACAGCUCCCCUCAGCAGCUUGAGAGUAUCAACCACCGCUACAACAAAGCCUGUGAGAUGUACAGUUUUGGCAUUGUCCUGUGGGAGAUUGCAACCCGCAAGAUUCCCUUCGGAGGUGUAUGUCAACUCCAUUAGUAGAAAGGCUGUGGACUGCUUACCAGAAGAGGUGUAUCAGAGGGUGAGUAAAGACAAAUAUACUGAACCUCUUCCUGAAGACUGCCCAAAACAGUUGGGAGAACUGAUCAACACCUGUCGCUCCUAUUACAGCUUCCACAGGCCAACGGCAGGAGUGUUGGUGGACAAGCUCCGCAAAGUGGUGGAGUAGUUAGAGGAGGACUAACAAACAAAGAGUUUCAUCUCCAGAGUUCUCAGAUACAUGGCUGGAGAAGAGGAAAACCAAGAACAGUUAUCAGCUCCAGGUUAAAGACAGACCAACUGACUGCCUCAAAUUCAUCAUGGGAUGAACAACACCCACACCCACAGACGUUUGAUCAAGUGCAUGUGAUAUAAUUUUAGCCUAGUACAUUUUCACAACAUUAGUCAGGAACAACUUUGAUUGAAACUGUGAAAUGAUUUGCAAUUGAUUUUACCAACCAUUAAACCACCACCAUCAAA